rnacentral:rRNA from 1 species
CGUGUCCCGUGACGCAGCGUCGCCCCUCCGGGGUCGGCAACGCGCGCGGCUGCUCGCCCUCGAGCUAAUAACGAACCCCGGCGCGGACCGCGCCAAGGAACAUGAACAAAGAGCGCGCCCCCCGUGUCCGGCCCACCGGCACACGGCGGCUGCGGCGUCCGACAUUAUGAGAGAACGACUCUCGGCAACGGAUAUCUCGGCUCUCGCAUCGAUGAAGAACGUAGCGAAAUGCGAUACUUGGUGUGAAUUGCAGAAUCCCGUGAACCAUCGAGUCUUUGAACGCAAGUUGCGCCCGAAGCCACUAGGCCGAGGGCACGUCUGCCUGGGCGUCACGCACAGCGUCGCCUCCCACCCCGUCGCAUCGUGCGGGGCGAAGGGGGCGGAGAUUGACCUCCCGUCGGCUGCAGCCUGCGGUUGGUCCAAAACGGGAGCUCGGGGCGAGCCGCGCCGCGACGGCUGGUGGUCGACGAGGCCCAGGCCAAGGUUGCAUCGCGUCGCGCAAGCGUGCCGCCCUCGACGCUCGCAGGACCUGUCUAGCCGCGCGCGAGCAAGCUCAACGUCGCGACCCAGGUCAGGCGGGGCUACCCGCU